rnacentral:rRNA from 1 species
UACAGAGACUGCAAGCGUUAUUCGGAUUCACUGGGCGUAAAGGGUGCGCAGGCGGCCGUGUGUGUCAGAUGUGAAAUCCCGGGGCUUAACUCCGGAACUGCGUCUGAAACUACACGGCUAGAGCAUUGGAGAGGGUAGUGGAAUUCACGGUGUAGCAGUGAAAUGCGUAGAUAUCGUGAGGAACACCAGAGGCGAAGGCGACUACCUGGACAAUAGCUGACGCUCAGGCACGAAAGCGUGGGGAGCCAAAGGG